AUGAAUGCCAGGGGACUUGGAUCUCAGCUAAAGGACAGUACUCCAGUGACUGAACUUUCAGCAAGUGGGCCUUUUGUUGAACGACAUGAUCUUCUUCGGAAAGGUUUUCCAUGUGUGAAACAUGAACUAUUAGCAAGUCACCCUCUUGAAGUAUCAGAAAAAAAUUUCCAGCUCGACCAAGAUAAAAUGAUUCCUUUCACACUGAGAAACACCCAGGGUCUCUUUUGCUCCUCUCAAAUUACAAAUGGAAUUCAAAGCAGCACAGCAGGUUCAGCGUCUUCCAUUUCUUUCUAGCUCAAACCUUUCACUGGAUAUUUUGAGGGGUAAUGAUGAGACUAUUGGAUUUGCAGAUAUUCUCAACGAUCCACUCCGAAGUGAGCUCAUGGGGGAACCACACUUGAUGGUGGAAUAUAAGCUUGGUUUACUCUGUAAGAUCAAAGGCUGCUGGGAUUCCAUCCAUGUGGUAGAAGUGCAGGAGAAGUCCAGUGGCCGCAACGCCCACUACAAGCUGACCUCCACAGUGAUGCUCUGGCUGCAAACCAACAAGUCUGGCUCGGGCACCAUGAACCUCGGCGGCAGCCUCACCAGACAGAUGGAGAAGGAUGAAACUGUGAGUGACUGCUCCCCACACAUAGCCAACAUCGGGCGCCUGGUGGAGGACAUGGAAAAUAAAAUCAGAAGUACGCUGAAUGAGAUCUACUUUGGAAAGACAAAGGACAUCGUCAAUGGGCUGAGGUCUGUGCAGACUUUCGCAGACAAAUCAAAACAAGAAGCUCUCAAGAACGACCUGGUGGAGGCUUUGAAGAGAAAGCAGCAAUGUUAAACCUCUGCUUUGCGCUAAACAGCCACGCCAUGCCCUCAUUAGGUUCCUUUCUUAGAAAACUCAUUUUCU